rnacentral:misc_RNA from 1 species
AUGCAGGUGCAGCUGGACAUUCUCCUGAGCUAAAAGCAUAUUCAUUUAGUCCCGUCAAACGGAUUAUUACUUUUGCUGCAGCUAAUAUAAAGGGAGUUUGACCAUUUUGGCUGACUGAUGCAGGAUUUUCACAAGAGGUCUUCAAAACACUUCUUGUUAAACUCGAUCUCAAAUCAAGUAAGACUACCCGCUGAACUUAA